CCCCUGCGAGAAGAGAGAAAGGGAGAGGAUUAAACCCGACCGGAGAAGGAAGGGUGCCUACCAUAAGUGGAAAUGGGGCCACUUAUGUUCGAAGAUUGAUCUUCAUCGAGGAAAAAUGGUGACUCCCCAUAGAAUGUCAGAGGGGGUCUCGAGUACGGCCAGCUCCUAGCCAGAGAUGGGGGAGUAGCAGGAAGAGGAGAAAGAAGGCCCCGACCAAGCAAUUCCUCAUAGAACUCCAAUAGCAAGGGAGCAAACGAGGAGCACAAUAGGGAGGGGUCUCAAGUACGGUCGGCUCCCAAUUGGAGAUGGGAGAGCAAGAGGAAGAGCCAAGAUCCCUCGCCAUCAGCCAGAGAAGAUCAAAAAGGACUCAGAGUCGGCCGUCUGCUGGAGGGAGGGGAGAUGAUGGGGGAAGAGUGGGGAGGAGAGGGAGGGAGAGAGAGGGGAGAAAGAAAGAGAGGGAGAGCGAGAGAGAAGGAGAAGAAGAGAGAGAGAGGUCUGGUAGCCAUCGGAGGAAGGAAUCACCAGAGGAGGCCUCAAUGCUCGAAGAAAAAAGGAAGGAGAUCUCGCCUUUUCACGAGAAGAGCUGCAGAAGAUAAAGAUGUGGGAAGACGAAAGAGAGGGGAGAGAGGAACAUAGAAAAGGAGAGAGAG
rnacentral:lncRNA from 1 species